AUUGAACGCUGGCGGCAGGCCUAACACAUGCAAGUCGAGCGGAUGAAGGGAGCUUGCUCCUGGAUUCAGCGGCGGACGGGUGAGUAAUGCCUAGGAAUCUGCCUGGUAGUGGGGGAUAACGUCCGGAAACGGGCGCUAAUACCGCAUACGUCCUGAGGGAGAAAGAGGGGGAUCUUCGGACCUCACGCUCUCAGAUGAGCCUAGGUCGGAUUAGCUAGUUGGUGGGGUAAAGGCCUACCAAGGCGACGAUCCGUAACUGGUCUGAGAGGAUGAUCAGUCACACUGGAACUGAGACACGGUCCAGACUCCUACGGGAGGCAGCAGUGGGGAAUAUUGGACAAUGGGCGAAAGCCUGAUCCAGCCAUGCCGCGUGUGUGAAGAAGGUCUUCGGAUUGUAAAGCACUUUAAGUUGGGAGGAAGGGCAGUAAGUUAAUACCUUGCUGUUUUGACGUUACCAACAGAAUAAGCACCGGCUAACUUCGUG
rnacentral:rRNA from 1 species